UUUCGCCCUUUCUUCAAUAUUUUUUUGUGAUCUUACAACCAUCUAGUGCACCUGCCAGCUGAGAGAUGAGCUGACGGCCUACAGCAGUUGGGCAGAGUCCUAUCCAGUGACCCUUGAGGUGCCUGCUCUGUAAAGGACAGGCAGGCAGGAGCUGUGUGAACAACAGCAUGCCCUUGAACACUUUGUUGGCCGCUGACCCUCUGAGGACAAAAUAGAUGCCUGGAUCAGGAAGCAGAGAUGGACAUCAAAUGUCCCAAAGACUUCAGUUAUUAUGAAGCAAUGGAAGCCUGUUUAGUGUCUGCACCAGGUAAUGGACAGCAGCUUGUGCAGAGGAUGGUUUUGAAUCAACGCUGGAAACAGCGGGAAUAAAUCCUUGCGCAUUAAAUGCACAAUGACCAUUUCCACUGCCAGCCUCUGUCCUUAGUUUAUGGAUGAUGCAUUCAACACUCCAGCAAAAAUGAUAGAGAUGUCAUUCUCUUCAUGGCAACCAGAGACAUUGGAGACAAUGAGGAGCUAGAAAAGAGCUGAAAGUGGACUGGAUGUAAAACAACAUAUGUCAUUUAGUCCUUUAUUUCCAACACCUCAAACUUUUGCAACCUACAGAUUUUUCCUGAAAUAUUUUAGUUAAAGCUCUAGCGAAGAUAAGUUGCUGCAGCUAAAAAGUUCAUAGUUGGAUCUCCGGCGUGGGCUGGCAGUCACACACGAAUACAUCAAUACACACACACACACACACACACACACACACA